AUUGAACGCUGGCGGCAGGAAUAACACAUGCAAGUCGAGAGGAGCGGCGGACGGGUGAGUAAUGCCUAGGAAUCUGCCUGGUAGUGGGGGAUACCGUCCGGAAACGGGCGCUAAUACCGCAUACUAUCAGAUGAGCCUAGGUGGGAUGAGCUCGUUGGUGUGGUAAAGGCUUACCAAGGCGACGAUCCGUAACUGGUCUGAGAGGAUGAUCAGUCACACUGGAACUGAGACACGGUCCAGACGCCUACGGUAGGCAGAAGUGGGAAAUAUUUGACAAUGGGCGAAAGCCUGAUCCAGCCAUGCCGCGUGUGUGAAGAAGGUCUUCGGAUUGUAAAGCACUUUAAGUUGGGAGGCGUUACCAACAGAAUAAGCACCGGCUAACUUCGUGCCAGCAGCCGCGGUAAUUC
rnacentral:rRNA from 1 species